rnacentral:RNase_P_RNA from 1 species
UCGGGCAGCCGCUGGUAUUUUGCCAGAGGAAAGUCCAUGCUCGCACACGCUGCGAUGCGUGUAGUGUCUGUGCCGGCCGAAUCAAUAAGACCGGGCACCCGCAAGGGUGACGGCGGAACGGAAACCUAAGGGCUUUAGGCCUAUGGCGGAUGUCCCCAAGGUGUCACAGUGACGAAGCCAUGCUGGAAACGGCAUGGGUGGAACGCGAUAAACCCCGCAGGCGAGAAACCCAAAUCAGGUAGGGGAACUUGGAAGGACGAAUUGAAGUCCGGAUGAGCUGCAUUCGUGCAGAGAUAAAUGGCUGCCACCUUCCUUCGGGAAGGGACAGAACAUGGCUUACAG